UACGUAGGGUGCAAGCGUUGUCCGGAAUUAUUGGGCGUAAAGAGCUCGUAGGCGGUCUGUCGCGUCGGAUGUGAAAACCCAGGGCUCAACCCUGGGCCUGCAUUCGAUACGGGCAGACUAGAGUUCGGUAGGGGAGACUGGAAUUCCUGGUGUAGCGGUGAAAUGCGCAGAUAUCAGGAGGAACACCGGUGGCGAAGGCAGGUCUCUGGGCCACUACUGACGCUGAGAAGCGAAAGCAUGGGGAGCGAACAGG
rnacentral:rRNA from 1 species